rnacentral:lncRNA from 1 species
GGGUACCGUUCUAACUAUGGAGUAGGCUUCCUCCAAGAGAAAGUCUUCUUGGAAGAAGAAGAAGCCUGUAAAGAAGCAAAAGACUAGUAGCAAACCCAAGAAGCAAGCUCUAAAGAAGACCAACGACAAAAGAAAAUAUUUUCACUACAAUGUCGAAGGUCAUUGGAAAAGAAACUCUCCAGCAUACCUGGCCACUUUAAAGAACAAAAAAUGGACACGCCU